rnacentral:lncRNA from 10 species
CUGUGACCCGGAGGCGCUGGGGCUGUCCUGGGUCGUCACAUGCGAGAAAUCGUCUCACCCCAGCCAGUGUGACGGAGUGAGAGCAAAAGAAAGUUUUGAUAGCAGCGUACGAUUUAUAUUCAGCUGUAUGCUGGGCAGGUCCAACUUGGCAUUUCUUGGCUGUAUCUCUGAAGGAAAGUCAUCUUAAUCUCUAUGAGCCUCCAUUUCCUCAGCUGUAAAAUGGGAAGAUCUUCCUCACACUGCUGUGGCCCAGAACCAUAUCCUGCUCCACAAGCCUCGUCCUUGGCAAGAAGUUGCACCUGCCCAGAGAGAAAACCUUUUGAAACUGGCACAAAGGCACUGGAGAGACUGGCAGGGCCCCCUACUUGACGAUCUGGCUCAUCCAUCUGCACACUGACCACGCUAAGAGCUGUCUGCAGUGAUGGAAACCUUCUCUAGCUGUGCUGUCCUCUAUAGUGGCACCAGCUGCCUGUGGCUACUGAGCACUUCAACUGUGGCUGCAGAGACUAUGUUAAAUUGUAUUUAAUCAUAAUUAAUUUAAUUGUAAACAACUACAUGUGGCUAGUGGUUUCUGUACUGGGCACUGCAGGUGCACAUUUCCUGCUGGCCAUGGACAGUAAGCUCCAUAAGAGACUAAUUGUGCCUGGUUUGCUUAUAGGCUUAUCCUCAGCACCUGCACCAGCCUAGAAUAUGAUUGGCACUCUAUUAAUUAAAAGUUCCCAGGUAAAUGAAUUAGUGGAUUCUCUGUUUCCUCCACUAUGCCACAACCUCCUUAAGGGCAGAGAUGGUGUCUUCAAAAAAAAAAAAUUCUGGUCAAAAACACAUAAGAUCUACCACCUUCACCAUUGUUGUGUCCAGUUCAGUAGUAUUAACUACACUUACAUUGUGAUACAACAAAAGAUUGUGUCUUUUUACAUUCUUAGGACCCAGCACAGUGUCUGGCACAUAAUCUUAGUAAACACUGGCAGAGCACAUGCCUUUGCCAAGGCCAGAACAGAGGUUCAGUGCCAUCCAUUACCACCCUUUCACACAUCCACUGGGGCUUUAAAAACAACCUGGAAUGAAAGCUGUUGAGUCUAGAGAAAUGGGCUACAAAGAAGGUUUACAAGAUAAUCUAUUAAGAAUAGGGAAUACAGGCCGGGCACGGUGGCUCACACCUGUAAUCCCAGCACUUUGGGAGGCUGAGGUGGGUGGAUCAUUUGAGGUCAGGAGUUCGAGACCAGCCUGGCCAAUGUGGUGAAAUCCUGUCUCUACCAAAAAUUAUCCAGGCAUGGUGGUGCGUGCCUGUAGUCCCAGCUACUUGGGAGGCUGAGGCAUGAGCAUCGCUUGAACCCGGGAGGCAGAGGUUGCAGUGAGCCGAGAUCGCGCCACUACACCCCAGCCUGGGUGACAGAGCAAGACUCCGUCUCAAAAAAAUAAAAAAACCUAAAAUAAAGCUUAAUACACAUGACAUAUGGAUUGGCAGUCACACAUAAAUAUGAUUGAUAAGGAUACAAAUAUUUGGAGGUGCUGCCUGACCAUCUGUUGCUGAUUAUGUGGAGAUCACUUGUCUAGGACCCUGAGAUAGACUGAUGUUUCUAACUCUGCCACACACGGUCUCUCCCACCCUCCAGACACUUUCUUCCUUCAGUUCAGGGAACCCUCAAUACACAGUAAGAAUGAAGAGGUUGCAGGUCUGAGCUUGAGGAGGACUGGACUAAAAGGAGUUUAGCCCUGCCAGGGCAUUCCGAGGACUGUGAAGAUCCGGAAUAUUGGCCACAGGCAUCUAUGUAUUUGAAUCAUAUCCAUUUUUGAGCUCACUCCUAGCAGAGGAGUCAAAACUUACGUUCUGGCCCCCAGGUACAUUUCCAGUCUCUUACUCAUAAAAUUGUGACAUACCCCCAGGGGUGCCCAAAGGGGUUUGUGAAUCAAGAUAGUUUGAGGAGAAUCGAUUUUCUGAUCCUCAGUUUUUCUAUGCUCUUUUUCCUAAAAGCGAUAUUCCUAAAAAGGCAUCCAAGACAAGGCAUCCCCUUUCCCAUUUGCUGGGGAAGACAGCUUUACAAGAGAAAGCUGCCCCUCUCACCCAUGUGACCCCCCACUCUGGGGCACUGCCCUAGGGGUAGAAAUCUCCAAGGCAUCAAACAAAGUGACUCCUGGGGGUCAAGUGACAGAGGAGCAAGUCUUUCUGCAAGUCAAGUGGUUUCCAGCUCUGCUUUCAGCAAAAUUGAAAGAGGCACUAAUCAAAUUGCCAGCGGAUCAUAAAAAAACAUUUUGAUAAUAAUGUUAUUAGGCAUAUAACUUGGAAGAAGUUCAAAGAAUUGAAUGGCAUCCUCAUAAC